GUAGGUGGCAAGCGUUGUCCGGAAUUAUUGGGCGUAAAGCGCGCGCAGGCGGUUCUUUAAGUCUGAUGUGAAAGCCCACGGCUCAACCGUGGAGGGUCAUUGGAAACUGGAGAACUUGAGUACAGAAGAGGAAAGCGGAAUUCCACGUGUAGCGGUGAAAUGCGUAGAGAUGUGGAGGAACACCAGUGGCGAAGGCGGCUUUCUGGUCUGUAACUGACGCUGAGGCGCGAAAGCGUGGGGAGCAAACAGGGAUUAGAUACCCUGGUAGUCCACGCCGUAAACGAUGAGUGCUAAGUGUAGGGGGGUUUCCGCCCCCUUAGUGCUGCAGCUAACGCAUUAAGCACUCCGCCUGGGAGUACGGCCGCAAGGCUG
rnacentral:rRNA from 1 species